CCUACGGGUGGCAGCAGUGAGGAAUAUUGGUCAAUGGACGUAAGUCUGAACCAGCCAAGUCGCGUGCAGGAAGAAGGCUCUAUGGGUUGUAAACUGCUUUUGUAGGGGAGUAAAUCUCUCUACGUGUGUAUGUUUGCAUGUACCCUACGAAUAAGCAUCGGCUAAUUCCGUGCCAGCAGCCGCGGUAAUCCGGAGGAUGCGAGCGUUAUCCGGAUUUAUUGGGUUUAAAGGGUGCGUAGGCGGUUUGUUAAGUCAGCGGUGAAAGUUUGGGGCUCAACCAUGGAACUGCCGUUGAAACUGGGAGGCUUGAGUGUAGUUGAGGUAGGCGGAAUGCGUGGUGUAGCGGUGAAAUGCGUAGAUAUCAGGAGGAACACCGAUGGCGAAGGCAGCCUGCUGGACUGCGACUGACGUUGAGGCCCGAAAGCGUGGGGAGCAAACAGGAUUAGAUACCCGAGUAGUC
rnacentral:rRNA from 1 species